AUUGAACGCUGGCGGCAUGCUUUACACAUGCAAGUCGAACGGUAGCGGGCCUUCGGGUGCCGACGAGUGGCGAACGGGUGAGAAAUGUAUCGGAACGUACCUUUCAGUGGGGGAUAACGUAGCGAAAGUUACGCUAAUACCGCAUAUUCUGUGCGCAGGAAAGCAGGGGAUCGCAAGACCUUGCGCUGAUUGAGCGGCCGAUAUCAGAUUAGCUAGUUGGUGGGGUAAAGGCUCACCAAGGCGACGAUCUGUAGCGGGUCUGAGAGGAUGAUCCGCCACACUGGAACUGAGGCACGGUCCAGACUCCUACGGGAGGCAGCAGUGGGGAAUUUUGGACAAUGGGGGCAACCCUGAUCCAGCCAUGCCGCGUGAGUGAAGAAGGCCUUCGGGUCGUAAAGCUCUUUCGGCCGGGAAGAAAUCGCAUGGGCUAAUACCCUGUGCGGAUGACGGUACCGGCAUAAGAAGCACCGGCUAACUACGUGCCAGCAGCCGCGGUAAUAC
rnacentral:rRNA from 1 species